AUUGAACGCUGGCGGCAGGCCUAACACAUGCAAGUCGAGCGGAUGCAGGGAGCUUGCUCCUGGAUUCAGCGGCGGACGGGUGAGUAAUGCCUAGGAAUCUGCCUGGUAGUGGGGGAUAACGUCCGGAAACGGGCGCUAAUACCGCAUACGUCCUGAGGGAGAAAGUGGGGGAUCUUCGGACCUCACGCUAUCAGAUGAGCCUAGGUCGGGUUAGCUAGUUGGUGGGGUAAAGGCCUACCAAGGCGACGAUCCGUAACUGGUCUGAGAGGAUGAUCAGUCACACUGGAACUGAGACACGGUCCAGACUCCUACGGGAGGCAGCAGUGGGGAAUAUUGGACAAUGGGCGAAAGCCUGAUCCAGCCAUGCCGCGUGUGUGAAGAAGGUCUUCGGAUUGUAAAGCACUUUAAGUUGGGAGGAAGGGCAGUAAGUUAAUACCUUGCUGUUUUGACGUUACCAACAGAAUAAGCACCGGCUAACUUCGUG
rnacentral:rRNA from 1 species